AUUAACCUUAAGCCGCAUGUAAGGUAGAAGAAAAAAAAAACAGAGAUUGGUGAAAAUUGAGAAAGAAUCCACAGAAAUCAAGACAUGGCGGAAAACAAAAUGGUAACCAAACAGUCGACAUUCACAACAACAACAACAACAACAAAUAUCAUUUCCAACAUGGCGAAAAACAAAAUGGAAAUCAAUCAAACAAUUUGACAAAAGAAAAAAAUAAUUGAAAAUCAAUCGAAAUGACAGAGAUAUUUUCCGCGUAAUAAACAAAACACGUUCGAACAAAAUCUGCUGACUGUUGCGAUAAGCUCUAGUGUGGAGGUCAGCGGGGAACACCUCAAAGUGACUUUACAAAAAAAA